rnacentral:rRNA from 1 species
GGCGCAAGCCUGAUCCAGCCAUGCCGCGUGGGUGAUGAAGGCCCUAGGGUUGUAAAGCCCUUUCGGCGGGGAAGAUAAUGACGGUACCCGCAGAAGAAGCCCCGGCUAACUUCGUGCCAGCAGCCGCGGUAAUACGAAGGGGGCUAGCGUUGCUCGGAAUUACUGGGCGUAAAGCGCACGUAGGCGGCUACUUAAGUCGGUGGUGAAAUCCUGGAGCUCAACUCCAGAACUGCCUUCGAUACUGGGAAGCUCGAGUCCGGGAGAGGUGAGUGGAACUGCGAGUGUAGAGGUGAAAUUCGUAGAUAUUCGCAAGAACACCGGUGGCGAAGGCGGCUCUCUGGACCGAGACUGACGCUGAGGCGCGAAAGCGUGGGGAGCAAACAGGAUUAGAUACCCUGGUAGUCCACGCUGUAAACGAUGUGUGCUAGACGUUGGGGAGCCUAGCUCUUCGGUGUCGCAGCUAACGCGGUAAGCACACCGCCUGGGGAGUAC